rnacentral:lncRNA from 1 species
AUUGUUAUAGCCUACAAUGUUUUAUUCUUUAGGGAUUAAUGUAGUCAUAUUGAUUCAAUUAAAAAAUAAAGUAGCUAUCUGUGUGGAAGGUUCUAAAGUAAAACGUGGACCACAUCAUAGCUUCUACAUAUAAAAGCUUGAACCAUAUAUUAGUAGUAUAUUCCCCUAAUGACUAUAUUUUUCUUUAUAGCAUCCAUCGACAUUUGAUUGCAUUGACUCUAAAUACCGAACUUUUUUUUAUACAUGUAUUUUUAAAAUAAUUCCUUGGUAAUAUGCCG